GUGCUUGCUUCAGCAACACAUAUACUUAAAAUUGGAAUGAUACAGAGAUUGGCAUGGCCCCUGCACAAGGAUGGCAUGCAAAUUCAUGAAGCAUUCUGUAUUUUU